UCACUGGCUCCAUCAAUAUAUAUUUUAUCAGAAACGGCCUCUGUCCUUUCAAGUGGCGACGAACGAAACCAAACCCUAGAUUAGAUCGUUGGCAGGCACUGGGAGGACAAGAAAGAGCAGAAUUGAAAGAAGGCAACUCCCACUUGAUUCGAGGCGCUCUUCGUUUAGAAGACACGGCUUUCUUGGCUCUUGGCACGGAGUUCAUGUACGAUCAUCUUCUUCUCGACGAUGGUCUGUUCUGAUUUCCUUGUGGAUGCUGCAGUUGGGGAAUCGAACUUUCAAGGAGGAUAUAUUCGCAGGGUUUCGUCAAGGCUCCGGCUCUUUCGACUUUCACCAUAUAGAAAUAGCAUCUGUUUGAGACUGAAGGCGAUAUUGAGGCCGAUUGAGGAUUUUCCGCCAUGGACGUCCGGGGAGAUCUCCUUCAGAGAGAAAUCUUCAUGUGGCUUAUGUGGGGUUGACUGGUUUUUCUUCCCCAUCGAUGACGAUGCUUCAGAAACUGAUUGAAAUUCCAAUUGCCGCAAAAUAAGGAGAAACUCAGAUUUUGUGGAAACGGAGAAUUAAAAACAGAGCAUUUUCUUUUAUGAAACAGAGGAAUCGUAUAAGAAAGAACUGUACCAGAGAGAGAGGGGGAGCAGAGAAGAUCGAGAGAGUUGGUUUGAAAGAUUGGAGACAUGGAAGGUCGUUUGGAGCUUGGGGGAGAGACAUGGAUAUAGAAAAUUUGGAACUGGUAAAUGGUGGGGAAGGGACAGAGAGGAACAGGGAGGGACAGAGAGAAGAAACGGGAAAGAAAUCGAACUCUGCAAUCCGCAAUUCCCGUUUCUUUGCGCUGAGGAUUCCAAGAUGUGUGCGGCCUAGUUCUCCCUUGAAUAACAUUUUUGCAUUGUUGUGUCCUAAUAAGAAUCUUUGCCUUGUCAGUGGCUUCAUCAAGGAAUAGAAGCAUGGAAUAUCCCUGGAUGUUGAAAAAAAUCAGUAAUGUCAUUCUCAAUUUUCCUUUAUUUGAUUAAAAAUAUUCUUAUUUGUUACUACUCCAAAUUAUUAUCUUUGUGCUGGUGCUUGGUUAUCUUUUUGCAGAAUAAUGUUUCUUGUGAAAAUGACAUUCUAGGCAUAUUUAGAGUUUGGAAAAAAUCAAGGGUUGGAAACUAUUGUUACUAUAUUUUGUUG